GAUGAACGCUGGCGGCGUGCUUAACACAUGCAAGUCGAACGAAGCACUUUGGACAGAUUCUUUGGAUGAAAUUCUUAGUGACUGAGUGGCGGACGGGUGAGUAACGCGUGGGUAACCUGCCUCAUACAGGGGGAUAACAGUUAGAAAUGGCUGCUAAUACCGCAUAAGCGCACGGUACUGCAUGGUACAGUGUGAAAAACUCCGGUGGUAUGAGAUGGACCCGCGUUGGAUUAGCUAGUUGGCAGGGUAACGGCCUACCAAGGCGACGAUCCAUAGCCGGCCUGAGAGGGUGGACGGCCACAUUGGGACUGAGACACGGCCCAGACUCCUACGGGAGGCAGCAGUGGGGAAUAUUGCACAAUGGGGGAAACCCUGAUGCAGCGACGCCGCGUGAGCGAAGAAGUAUUUCGGUAUGUAAAGCUCUAUCAGCAGGGAAGAAAAUGACGG
rnacentral:rRNA from 1 species